GCCAACAGAUCAAUGGGAGUUCAGAGUUACAGAGGACCCAAGGAAGACACCAGGGCAUGGAGAAGAGCCACUCUCAAGGGACCACAAAGGAUGGAAGAAGAGGCCUGGCACCACCCUAACACUCAUGAAGAGUUUCCAGGAUUAUCUUCUGCAUUCUCUGCUUCUUGGCCACUUGACUGAUGAUCCCAGGCCCUGACUUGCCAGAACAAUGAAUUUACGGUCAACUGCUGGAGGGAUGAAACAUGGAGAUCACAGACAUCACUUGCAAUACUGUGCAACUGUGUGCCCCCAUCUGACACAAUCACACAACCCACCCACUUCCCAUACAGUAUUGGGGAAGAAAUUAUGUGCCAGAACAGAAGCUAUCAGGCCUUAUGACCACAUUCUUUUGUAGGUAUUAUCCUCUUCACGUGACUCUUCUUUCCACUCUAAAUGGAUUGUUGUAGUUGAAAUAAUGAGAAACAAAAUGAAAUUGCAAAGAUAAA